rnacentral:lncRNA from 1 species
AAUCAUGAUUGAUAGAGAAUUCAUAAUCCUUAUCAGUAACAAAGAUAGCUGAAGUAGCAAAAGUGGGAUCAUAUUUCAUUCUAGCAUUCAAGGAUUUUUCUUUCAGCUUAGCUCACAAUUUCUUCAGAUCUUCUCUAUCAUUUCAAGAAAAUAAGUCUCUAGCAGUUUCUUUAUCCAUAACAUAACCCUCAGGUACAACAGGCAAUUCAUAUCUAGGGGAGAAUCAAAAUCUUCAGUUUCAAUAAUAUCACCAGCUUCAGUAAUUUUAUUCUGUGGCACCCCGGCUUAGAGAAACCAGAAUGCCCUGUAUUGCAGCCCAGAGAUCGAGGAGAAGUCUAUGGAAUAUGGUCCUGCUUGACAUAGAACAAAUCAGCUCUUAUUACAAGAAUAAUAAUAUAAGGGUCUGAUGUUACAAAGAAGCACAUCAGUACGACGACACUAUGCCUGUGAUACUACACUUGCUCUAUGCUACCAGCGGAACAACUCGAAGCAGCGGAAUGCUUCUAGAAGCGGAACAAUGAUGAAGGUGGUGAACUCCACUCUGCAGGGACUCUGGCUGGGACAUGAUCUAGCUCGCACGCACGGAAACCUUGACAAGCAAUCAAGCAAUCAUGGCAUCACCGGCAAUCUGGCAUGACACGCUAGGUCAGUACAUUGAAUGUACUCGCAAGCUCACAUCAACCAAAAACAUCAAGGCAAGACAUUAACAUAGCAUUAAACAGGUUAAUUAAAUUAACAGCUACCAUGAUGAAGCAACUAAUAAUCACGAUAUGAGCUACUAGCAUGCUGAUAACCAUCAUCUCAGAUCUCAAGUACCACAUGAACCAUCUCACACUUGGCUAACCGGCCAAGCAAUAUACCAUCUCGAUCACCUCGUGACCAAAACAAAACGGUGAUCACUCACGGAUCACAAACGGAACCACACCGGGUUCAACGGGUUACCUCGUAACCGUACGGUGAUCAUUCACAGAUCACAAACGGAACAUCCACAAGAUCAUCUCGUGACCACAUCACAAAUUGAAUGAUCCUCCUGAAGAUCAUCCCAACAUCAUCAUCAUCAUCCUGCCAAACUGUUACAUCUCACAAUAUCAACGUAUACAUCACCUAUCAUUCAUUCCGUCAUGUGAGUGUUGAUCGAACGGUGUGACCUAGUACGAACUUAUGCCCAUGACCGAGGACGCAGCAUAACCCAUGGUAGCGCACUUUACCCACACCACAUAACCCAUGGCCUCGCCCUCCCAUUCGGGUGGACCAACGGCGUUCCGACAAAACCGACCUACGGCCAUGACACUCUCCCGGCCACUUCGACCGACACCCCUUCUAGGUUCAGUCCUGGAUGGCCCUGCGCCUACCAAAGGCACCAAUGGCCACCGUCGUGGCAAAACAAAAAUGGUCUCAAAUGGGGACAAAAAUGCGCCUAACAACAACUAUGAGCACACAAGGUUAUGUAUGCUUACCGGGCCAGGGUACCGCACGCCCAUAACCUUCCCUCGUUGGAGGCACCGGCGAGAGGCACGACAAUAGACCGCAUUAGGGCCUUCCCAUAAAAGGCAAAUGUGGUUGCACUGGAAAAGCCCAGUUCAGUGGCACCUGACCAACUUAAUGACGGAAUUUAUCCCCAAAAUAUAAUGGUGGUAACUGAUACUCCGAUAUCAUCUAUCAACCUAUAAUCCAAGUCAUAGCAAUAUCCAACAAAUAAUCUAAAGCAUACCAUCAUCAUAUUAAAAUACUCCGAGGAUAGCAUAACACUUCUAUCAUGAUGAAUCCGAAAACAAUAAUCCUACUAUCCAAUAACAAGAACAAAGCUAUCCAGAUCCACACGUAAACAUCAUCUCUGAAAUUAAUACUCCAAGCAACAGUAACAGAACAUCAACUAGCAUCAUGAAAAUAAUCAUACUAACCAAUAAUAAUCCAAAGGCAGCAUGACAUCCAACAUAAUACUCCAAAAUAUAAUAACAUAUAUCAUCAUGAAAUACAUCAUAAUAUCAACCACUAAUACUCCAAUGGCAACAUGAUACUCAUCAACUACAAACAUAACUCCUAGUAAUCCAAACAAUAGCAUGGCAACGGCAAGAUAAAAAUAAUACUCCGAAAAAAGGCCAUGCACAAAGUCAUGUAGCUAAAGAAAUAUUUUAAACACGUUGAAAUAGAUUAAACCAUGUCACUGCAUUUCAGUGAUGCAAAUGGAAGGUGUGGCUUGCCAGGGGUGGAAGAAAUCACCGGGAGAAAGUGCGAGAAGCUCGUGGAACGAAUCGCCGGAAAUCUUUCUCUCUUAGAGGGGCUGAAUAAGGGAAAGGGCAUAAUGGUCAUUUUAAUAAUGUUAACACAGGGUGAAAAUGGUUUCAUCAGAACGGGCUCAACGAAACGAAGAAGUGGGCUUUGGAAUCACCUGAUUUGGAUCUACGGGUAAAAAGUUAUAGCUGUUUUUCUGCCAGGGGCUUAUUUGUAAUAAAAUCAUCACAAACAGGCCCUUAACAGGAAAAACAGAACACGCCUUCUCCGAAAAUACGUUUUCCACAAAGGGAAAUGCAUUUCGGCCUGAAGAAGAAACAUAAUACGCCUUCGUUAAGUGAAGACGUACUCUAUGGAGUACGCCUCCACUUAACCACGACAGCGGGCCGGCCCAGUCAGCACAGAGAGGCCGAUAGGCGGGGCCCAGGGACGGGGUCAACGUCGUCUUCAUCUCACCCGCGUUCGCCCGCAGUCUAGAGGGAGGUUGCAGGCACGGGAGCUCGUCCGGCCGGCUCUGGCCAUCGCUGGCGGUGCCCGACCCACCGUUGGGCUCAGGGAACCGAGGCGGUCCCGUCCAGGCAAGAUGCAGCCGCGGGGAAGGGCUCGACUGAGUGGGAGGCUAGCCGUGGCGGACGGGGAACUUCGGUCGGUGGCGAGCUCAUGGCAGAAGGCCACAGGAGUGGAGGGAGAGCACGGGGGCGAAGUCUGGGUGGUGGAGGAGUCUACUGGUGGUCGAAAGGAGAGGGGAGGGAGCUCGGCUUGCUCGGAUUCGAGCAGAGACCGUCGGCGGCCGAGGUGGCUAUUGGAGGGCUCGGGAGUUCUUGGAGCUGAGGGAAGUGAAUGGGUGGGGCUAGUGGAGUGCGGUGAGGCUAUGGGU